AGUUUUAUAUUUUAUUGAAAAUUUUAAAUUGCAAAUUUAAAGAUGGUUAAUUUACCUAAAACUU
rnacentral:tRNA from 1 species